rnacentral:lncRNA from 1 species
UUCAACCCAACCAUAUGGUCAAUAGGCGACGAUUACGACCAUGCUUACCCCAACAUUUCCAACAACCAUAACUUCCUGCUACAUACCAGAUGGGUCAUUAAUCUCGGAUUGUGGAGAGCUUUGAAGGUGUCUUCCUUCCGAUGAAAUCAGAACAAGUGUAAAAAGAACUAGCAAGAACAAAGUAACACCCCCGAACUUCAUUUUCAGAAUUAGAAUCCGCGUUGUGGUGUGGUGUGAUGCCGUGCUUUGAUUUGUAUAAUAUAUAUAGAGGGUAUAUUGUCAACCUUGAGGACAAGAUUUCUUGUAGCAAAUUAGGAAAAGUAACCGAAUGUU